UUUUCUGAGAAUACCAUAAGCU
rnacentral:snRNA from 1 species